CUAAAGGGAGUCAGGAUACAUGAUUUGCUAUGGGUGUUCAAUACAAAUGUAAGCUCUAGAAUUGAUAUUAGGAGAGAAAAAAGAGGGUAUUUUGAGGUGA